AUUCCAGCUCCAAUAGCGUAUAUUAAAGUUGUUGCAGUUAAAAAGCUCGUAGUUGAACCUUGGGCUUGGUUGGCCGGUCCGCCUUUUUGGCGAGUACUGGACCCAACCGAGCCUUUCCUUCUGGCUAACCUUUCGCCCUUGUGGUGUUUGGCGAACCAGGACUUUUACUUUGAAAAAAUUAGAGUGUUCAAAGCAGGCCUUUGCUCGAAUAUAUUAGCAUGGAAUAAUAGAAUAGGACGUUUGGUUCUAUUUUGUUGGUUUCUAGGACCAUCGUAAUGAUUAAUAGGGACGGUCGGGGGCAUCAGUAUUCAGUUGUCAGAGGUGAAAUUCUUGGAUUUACUGAAGACUAACUACUGCGAAAGCAUUUGCCAAGGACGUUUUCAUCA
rnacentral:rRNA from 1 species